GGAGGAGGUAGGUGCCAUAGGUGUUUUUAGCUUUGUUGUCCAGUUGUGCAAACCGAGGUUUACAAACAUUAAAGUUCGCUCAGCUAGAAAGAGGCAGAACUAGGAGCUGAAGCCUCCUGCCCCAUCUUCUAACUGUGUGUGCUCGCUGCUCCAUCACUGGGCCGACGUAACUAGUUGUUAAUGAGUCUUCAUGUCAAGGAUAGCAGUGACCUUCGGUUGCUUCCCAAAUCCAGAAUGAGGCCUUCUGGGAUGGACAGGAACCGAGACUAGGUCAUUAAUAUACCUUUGGUUCCUUCCUUCCUUGUCUCAGGUCCUCUCCACCCAACACGCCUGGUGUGGACCCCCCUGAGCCCUGACUUGGAAGCCGGGGUUGGUCAGCCCACCGUCAGCUGUGGCAGCGCAUGGUAAACCCUCAGCUAUAAUCCUUUGAUGUGUUUCCAGCCAUGAGAAAAACAAAGACGUGGACUUACAAGGGCCCCUCAAGGGACCUGGCAGACAUUCCUGCAGGACGGCUGCCUGCCACUGGCCGUGGUUCCUCUGGUCCUGUGCUUGGGGCCACAGCCGGUACCUCCAGAACAGAGCCCUCCUUAGCCUCUGCGGAUGGGCUGUCUCCCAGAGUCAGUGAUUGUGCUCUGCUGAGGCCUGUCCUUGGCGUUUCUUCCUCCCCAGGACCACCGCUGCCUCCUGUGGGCAGCCAGAACUCAUGGUCGCUGUCUUCCUCCUAAGAGCCAACGUUCACGUGUUUUCUGUGUGCCUGACAUGUCAGAAGUGUUACUGCGGCCAGUCCAUGUGAACCUGCCGGGAGGUAGCUGCCAUCAUCCACAUGUUACAGACGAGACAACUGAGGCACAGAGAAGAAUAACUUGCCCAAGGUCACAGUCCUGUUGGGUGGCAGAGCCAGGAUAUUCUUGCAGUGUGACUCCAGGCGUAUAAAACCAGGCUGGGCCUCCCCUGGGGGCAGGUGCUCCAUGUUUGCAGUGUGACCUCCGUUGCCAGGACAACUUGUGCAGGUGGCUGGGAGAGAUGACUGGCCCUGAGCUAACAUCCGUGCCCAUCUUCAUCUACUUUAUACGUGGGACGCCUACCACAGCAAGGCUUUUGCCAAGCAGUGCCAUGUCCACACCCUGGAUCUGAACCGGCAAACCCCGGGCUGCCGAAGCGGAAUGUGUGCACUUAACCACUGCGCCACCGGGCUGGCCCCAGAAGACAUACUUUAAAGACAAACAGAUUCAAAAGCCAACCCUCCACUGACUAGCCGUGAGCCUCACUUUCCUUGUCUGUAAAGUGGGAACACUAAUAAGCUGUCUUUCUUAUGGGGUUGUUAUCAGGGUCAAAUCAGGAAUGCAUGUAAAAGUGUUCUGUGAAAUAAAAAGCUCCAUAAAAUUAUCUUGCCCUCUGUUCGCGUGGCUAGUUGUUAUUUCCCA
rnacentral:lncRNA from 1 species